GACGAACGCUGGCGGCGUGCCUAACACAUGCAAGUCGAACGGAGUCGGCCCCGCAAGGGACUGACUUAGUGGCGAACGGGUGAGUAACGCGUGAGCAACCUGCCUUUCAGUGGGGGACAACAGUUGGAAACGACUGCUAAUACCGCAUAAUGCAUUUUGACCGCAUGAUCGAGAUGCCAAAGAUUUAUUGCUGAAAGAUGGGCUCGCGUCUGAUUAGAUAGUUGGUGAGGUAACGGCCCACCAAGUCGACGAUAAGUAGCCGGACUGAGAGGUUGAACGGCCACAUUGGGACUGAGAUCCGGCCCAGCCUACUACGGGAGGCAGCAGUGGGGAAUACUGGGCAAUGGGGGACACCCUGACCCAGCAACGCCGCGUGAAGGAAGAAGGCUUUCGGGUUGUAAACUUCUUUUACCAGGGACGAAGAAAGUGACGGUACCUGGAGAAAAAGCCACGGCUAACUACGUG
rnacentral:rRNA from 1 species